rnacentral:rRNA from 1 species
GAUGAACGCUGGCGGCGUGCCUAAUACAUGCAAGUCGAGCGAACGGACGAGAAGCUUGCUUCUCUGAUGUUAGCGGCGGACGGGUGAGUAACACGUGGAUAACCUACCUAUAAGACUGGGAUAACUUCGGGAAACCGGAGCUAAUACCGGAUAAUAUUUUGAACCGCAUGGUUCAAAAGUGAAAGACGGUCUUGCUGUCACUUAUAGAUGGAUCCGCGCUGCAUUAGCUAGUUGGUAGGUAACGGCUUACCAAGGCAACGAUGCAUAGCCGACCUGAGAGGGUGAUCGGCCACACUGGAACUGAGACACGGUCCAGACUCCUACGGGAGGCAGCAGUAGGGAAUCUUCCGCAAUGGGCGAAAGCCUGACGGAGCAACGCCGCGUGAGUGAUGAAGGUCUUCGGAUCGUAAAACUCUGUUAUUAGGGAAGAACAUAUGUGUAAGUAACUGUGCACAUCUUGACGGUACCUAAUCAGAAAGCCACGGCUAACUACG